UGCAGCUCCACGCGAAUGUCCUCUCGGGAGCUGUUGUACUUGGAGGGCGCAUAGGUCUUGGGGUUAAUUUCCUGCUCAGCGAUUUCCCCUCUGGACGCCAGCGGUCGGCGAAAUAAUUGGAAGUAGAUUGGAAACAUUAGAUGAAAACCGAGGGACCAUUUGCUGACGGGAAUUAAACGAGUUGGAUCAAGGCUUCCGAACGCGGGUGAAAUAGUGAACAUGAACAGCUCCAGCUGCUGAGAUUUCCCUUCCUUUUGCGCCCACAAAUGUCCCUUUUUUUUGCGCUCUUUCCCUCUCUCAGCACCUCUGGUUUCCCCUGAGCCGUCAGCUCAGGCCAGUUCCAGAGUUUCACAGCUCCACCACCGACCUGAUCACAUUAUUCGACACUUCAAAUCGACUUUGAACAGCCUGCGCCGAACUGCGACAAACUUUUGUAACUCUAUAUAUAACAUAUAUAUAUAUACACAGUAUUUUUUUAAAAAAAAACAGACUUACGUAGGACACAUCCCGACAAAUACAAACAGAAAGAUCAAAAGACGAGCUGGGAAGCGUGGAGACAGAUUCACAGAGCAUAGAGCCGCAACUACGUUUCAACACCGAAUCAAUGAGCAGAGAUGAAUUGGUCGAAGGUUUUAUGGAUCACACCUUCAGCAACACAGUGACCCAUUGCGAAUUUCAAGCAUCGUCUAUUCCCAUUACGGAAUCUCAGCAUCCCCAGAUUUCUUUUCUACUCUUUAUUAUUAGCUGAUGGACACCGAAUCAACCUCUUCAGCGCAAAUGCUCCUUUCAAUAAAAGCCGUGUCCUGUUUGCAAUCCACCCGAACUGUUCACAAUACAUUUUUCUGAAUUCUUGCAGAUCGGCAGAAAUAUAAGCAGAGCUAAGGGGUAAACGCUUGUUAUAAUAAGUAGACGAGUGUUCCUAUUGCCCCUAACAAGUAAUUGCUAGGGUUUUUACUAAGAGAGAAAAGAACUAGGUAAAUAUGACAAUCUUGGAAAUGUUCCGUGCAUAGUACCUAAUUUAUUCUGCUUCAUUUACUUCGCGCCAUCCUCCACACCCUGUAGAGAGUGGUACAGCAAUCGUGAUAUUUUGCUCUUCUCGAUUACUGCCAGUUUGUGUUAACCUUGCAGAUUUCUUCCCCUUUCAGUGUUUGAAGUUUAGGUCAUAUGGUUGAUGUAACGCAAAUAAAGCGAGAAUUAAAGAUGAUGAAUAAUAUUGAACACGACCCACAGCAACCGAUUGAUUCAUUUUUGGAAUCAAACCACAUUCCCGUUGGAUCACUCGCUCAAAACGCAGCACAGCAACACAUUGGGAUGUGCAACACCCUGCACCCAAACAUUUGACCUGCUCAAUUCACGGAUUGCACUAAAUUACUGUCUCCAAAAUCUCAACCAUCCAUGAAAAUGCCCGUGUAAAGAGCAACAAUAUCGAGGAGAUCACAUUCACAAAAAAAAUCAGGUCUCUCCGGAGGGAAAAAAAACUUGCAGACGACUUUUGAUGUACUGGACUCGCUUCUGCAUAAGCACUUUUGUUCAGCCCCACAUUAAAACCACCACUACUAAUAAUACUUCUUGCAUUUGAUAUAGCGCCUUAUCGCCUUCACAGAUUCUUUGUCCUGGGAUGUGUUUUAGCUUUGAAAUGAUGUUUUGCCGUUGAGUUAACAGAUACUGAGCGGGUCGAGCAAGUUUUGAUAAUUGAAUUAAACGUGGUCACUAAAUUUA